rnacentral:rRNA from 1 species
UACCUACGGGAGGCAGCAGUGAGGAAUAUUGGUCAAUGGCCGGAAGGCUGAACCAGCCAAGCCGCGUGAAGGACGACGGCCCUACGGGUUGUAAACCUCUUUUGCCGGGGGACAAACGGCGGCACGCGUGCCGUCCUGAGGGUACCCGGAGAAAAAGCAUCGGCUAACUCCGUGCCAGCAGCCGCGGUAAUACGGAGGAUGCGAGCGUUAUCCGGAUUUAUUGGGUUUAAAGGGUGCGUAGGCGGGAUGCCAAGUCAGCGGUCAAAUACGGGGGCUCAACCUGCGUCCGCCGUUGAAACUGGCGU